AUUGAACGCUGGCGGCAGGCCUAACACAUGAAAGUCGAGCGGAGCGGCGGACGGGUGAGUAAUGCCUAGGAAUCUGCCUGGUAGUGGGGGAUAACGUCCGGACACGGGCGCCAAUACCGCAUACUCUCAGAUGAGCCUAGGUCGGAUUAGCUAGUUGGUGGGGUAAAGGCCUACCAAGGCGACGAUCCGUAACUGGUCUGAGAGGAUGAUCAGUCACACUGAAACUUGGACGCAGUCCAGACUCAAGUGGGAGGCAGGAGUGGGGAAUAGUGGACAAUGGGCGAAGGCCUGAUCCAGCCAUGCCGCGGGUGUGAAGAAGGUAUUCGGAUUGUAAAGCACUUUAAGUUGGGAGGCGUUACCAACAGGAUAAGCACCGGGUAACUUCGUGCCAGCAACCGCGGAGAUAC
rnacentral:rRNA from 1 species